rnacentral:rRNA from 1 species
UACGAAGGGGGCGAGCGUUGUUCGGAAUCACUGGGCGUAAAGGGCGCGUAGGCGGCCCCUCUUAGUCGCGUGUGAAAGCCCCGGGCUCAACCUGGGAACGGCGCGCGAAACGGGAGGGCUGGAGUUCGGGAGAGGAGAGUGGAAUUCCCAGUGUAGAGGUGAAAUUCGUAGAUAUUGGGAAGAACACCGGUGGCGAAGGCGACAUCCUGGACCGGUAUUGACGCUGAGUGAGCGAAAGCCAGGGGAGCAAACGGG